UUAAAUUGAAGAGUUUGAUCAUGGCUCAGAUUGAACGCUGGCGGCAGGCCUAACACAUGCAAGUCGAACGGUAACAGGAAGCAGCUUGCUGCUUUGCUGACGAGUGGCGGACGGGUGAGUAAUGUCUGGGAAACUGCCUGAUGGAGGGGGAUAACUACUGGAAACGGUAGCUAAUACCGCAUAACGUCGCAAGACCAAAGAGGGGGACCUUCGGGCCUCUUGCCAUCGGAUGUGCCCAGAUGGGAUUAGCUAGUAGGUGGGGUAACGGCUCACCUAGGCGACGAUCCCUA
rnacentral:rRNA from 1 species